GGCUGGUCUGAAGGUAGUAAGUUAUCUCAAUUGACUGUUCACAGUCAGUUACAGAUCAAACUCCUUAUUCUACACUCUCUCCCCUUUUCACUACUGCACUUCACUGGUCUUAA
rnacentral:Y_RNA from 1 species